AAAUAUAGAAAAAAAGAGAGCUAAAAAGAAAGAAAAGAGUUGAAAAUCAGGGAGCUCCCAAUUCAAUCAAGUCUAUGGGCUUGAACUUCACAAAUUUUGAUUCAAAACUAGUUCGGAAUCCUAAUAAUUACAUUGGACUAAAGGUUUAAUUGCUGGUUUAUUGUUUUGUUGAGGUUCAAGUUAGUUUGGUUAUUUGAAAUUUGU
rnacentral:lncRNA from 1 species